UUUUUAAUAUCAAAGCAUGAUAUUAAUUCUUCGUGUUCUUCUGAAUUUUGGAGAAACCUUCUGAAUUUGGGGGAGAAAUCUUCUGAAUUUUUAUCUUUAGAGGUUGGCAGGUAUGGAUUUACCACCAGAGUCUACCCUGGGGCAUCAUCGAAUAAAUCUAAAAAUGCUGUUACCAACUGUUCCAGGUUCAGUCUCUCAUGGGUCACUGGUGGCUGGACUUCUUUUCCCACCAGCUGAUUCAUUUCCAGUUGCAAAGUAUUUUCCUGAAAAUUAGUUUUUGCUCUUUCUGCCUUUAAAAUAUCCAUCCCCCAAUAUUACAUUAGCCUGUAGAUUUUUCACUGCAAAGAAAACAUCUUUCUGGUGUUCAUUUUUUACCUGCACAUAUAAAUGUUACUUUCUCUGUGCAUUUACACUGUUUACCUUAGGCCGCAAUCACUCCCGUUUGUGCGACGCCAAACACUAUUUACCAUUUAAAGUUUUUCCUCAAACUUUUUCUACCAGGAAAUUACUUUGUGACCUUGUGCUCAGUAAUGCAUCUGCUGGUACAUUAUUUAACAGAAUUUGAAUCACUGGGUGGGACAAAUUUUCUAUGAAUAGUGUAUUUAAUUGAAUUUGAAAGAAAUUAUUUUUCUCUCCGGGGUAGCUGUACUUUCUGUAUUUCAGUAUUCCUGACCAGUUUAAAGGCUUAGCACCUUCCCCCAGUUUCCUCUUUUGUGAUUUAUUUUGGUACCAGCCACUAGCAAAUGAAAGUUUCUUCUAGUUAUCAAAACAUCUGUUGCUAUCAAACCUUGGAUUUCCUUCUGCUACAGAUCUACAAAAAUGUCUGCUCAUAUCCUACUGUGCAUAUGCUCAUUGAUACUCACUUACUUUUGAAUUUCACUGCUAGCUCAUUUAAAUAUUCUAGUGUAUCCAAGUUCCAUAAUUCAACAUAAUCCUGAAUUUGAGACAAUAACCUUGGCAAUAAGAUUUGUAUGGUCUUUGCUUCAGAUUUCUUCCCAUAUAGUAUGGUAACUACUUGUAUAUUCCUCAAUAUAAACUCACUUAACUCUUUCACCUUAGUUAGAUAUAUCUUCCAAACAGUUCCGCUUCUGAUUUUACUCUUUCUUUCACCACUGGGGAAUGAUUUCUCAAAGGUGAUUUUAAAUAUUUUGAACCUUAGAUUCCCAGUGCCUGCAUCACUCAACAAAAAUUUACUGAUGCUUUUGUACCAACUCAGUUGCUGUCCUUGAAGCACUGCAGUUGCUAUUGUGACCUUAUGUAAUUUUGCAAUCAGGAAAAAGUAGAAAGUGCAUCUCUAAAUGUUCCAAAAAUGUCACUGACAAACUUCUAACAUCGAAUAUAAUGGCUGGUUUUAUCAAAGCUCACAUAGUGUCUAGGAUUAACCCAAAUCCUUCCAGACUUCCUGAUGGAGCCUGCAGUCUUCGGAGGGGACAGACUAAAUGUUCUUUGUUUUGUGAUGUGAUGCUUCAUUUUUUUUAGCAUCAUUUGGAGGGUUGUACUACUUGAUUUAUUAAUGGUAUUUUAGUGUAAUAGCUCUUACAGAGGCGAAGCAACCUAUCGCUACAUUUGGAAACAGUGACAAGUCUUGAGAAUGUGAAAAUAACUGUUUGAUUUAAACAAAAUUUAGAACAUAAGUCUUGUGCUACAAUUUCCAAAACUGUUGGGGAUUCAAAAUAAAAUAGAACAGUCCAAAUUAAAUCUAAUGUUGAAGAGCAGUCAAGGACUACACAAUUAAAUACUACUAGAGACUGUCUUAUUAACUCUACACGAGUUUUAGAAUCAAAGUACUGGCAGCAAGAAAUCAAAAAGCUGAAUAAGUGCAAAUAUUAGAGCUGACUUCAAACUAGCAUAUGGCGUAUAUGCGAUACCAGAAACACACUAUCUCAAAUUCCAAAACCUCAGUUUAGUACUCAUUACUGAUUUGUAUUCUUGUAAGGUUUACAUAAAGGUGAAGUUAUAGUAAAAAAGAUAUUAUAAAUAACUGAUUAAUUAACAUAAGAUACCUAAUGAUAUGAAAGAAAAAAAUGUUUUCAUCUGGGACAUAGAUGAAACAUAGAGAAACCUGAAAGAUUUAGGUUUUACAAUCCACCAUUUUCUUCUUUAACUCUUUCAUAUAUUAAUGAAAUUAAAUUAUGCAUAAAAAUCAUACAUUACAAGUAAGAGUAAAAACAUGAAAUGAUAGAAAUAUAUUAGCAAAGUUAUAAGCCGCCUUAAAUGUUUUGAAAUUCUUCAGAGUUUCUAUCAAGACUAGUAAGCUUCUAAUUUUUUAAGGAAUUGAAUCAGCAAAAUAGACUAGAAAUCAGAUAGAAAAUAAUUUUGACAGAAAAAAAAUUAAAGACUGUCUUGAAAUUACUAACAUUGGAAGUGAUAAAUGAAAUAGUGGUAUAGUUUAUAAUGUUUUUUCCUUGUAUAUUUAUAGACUGAUAUUAAGUCUGACUGAAAAGCAUAAAGAAGACAUACUGAUAAGAUAUUAAGUGAUUGAUAGGCAUUCACCUAUUGCAAAAUCUGAAAUUUGCGAAAUUUUGUGUACACCCUAAAUUUAAAAUAAUGCAUAUAGAUGUGUAAUUGUAUUUCAGAAGUGAUGCUUGUAAUUAAUUACACCGUUUGCUAAUUAGUUUAUCAUGCUGUAUUAAUGUGUUCUCUUUUUUGAUACUGUAGCUCUCUGAAAAGAAAAGAUUAAUUUGGAUUAUUGCCUGCAAAUUUUCCAGAUCACUGGUAUUUUGUGAAAGCUGGUCUGAUCAAGGUUUAGUGCAACAUGCAUGGUUUCAUAAUAUUCCCAAAUGAAGUUGGAUCCUUACUCAGUUAUUGAUUUUGAGUCUUUAGGUUUUCUAGUUUCAUAAUAUUCCCAAAUGAAGUUGGAUUAACUCAGCUUUGCUCAGUUAUUGAUUUUAUAUCUUUAGGAUUUUUAGUAAGUUUAUUUCUUUUAUUUCUUCCUUAAUUAAUUUUAUUAAACAAAGAAAUGUUUUGUCUCUGAUGUUGUGACAAGAAAAGAAAUUUAUAAGUAUGUAAAUGUAGUACAUUGCGAUUUGAAAAAAAAAGAUUUAAUUAAAUUGUCAGGUGUUAAAAGGUAUUAUGUGUAAAAAGUCAG